rnacentral:snRNA from 1 species
AGUCUUACCUGGCAGGGGAGAUACCAUGAUCACUAAGGUGGUUCUCCCAGGGCGAGGCUCAUCCAUUGCACUCUGGUUGUGCUGACCCCUGCGAUUUCCCCAAAUGCGGGAAACUCGACUGCAUAAUUUGUGGUAUCAC